rnacentral:rRNA from 1 species
ACGUCUACGUAGUUUGAUCAGUGGCUACAGAACGAACGCUGGCGGCAGGCCUAACACAUGCAAGUCGAGCGCCCCGCAAGGGGAGCGGCGGACGGGUGAGUAACGCGUGGGAACGUACCCUUUGCUACGGAAUAGCCUCGGGAAACUGGGAGUAAUACCGUAUGUGCCCUUCGGGGGAAAGAUUUAUCGGCAAAGGAUCGGCCCGCGUUGGAUUAGGUAGUUGGUGGGGUAAUGGCCUACCAAGCCGACGAUCCAUAGCUGGUUUGAGAGGAUGAUCAGCCACACUGGGACUGAGACACGGCCCAGACUCCUACGGGAGGCAGCAGUGGGGAAUCUUAGACAAUGGGCGCAAGCCUGAUCUAGCCAUGCCGCGUGAGCGAUGAAGGCCUUAGGGUUGUAAAGCUCUUUCAGUGGGGAAGAUAAUGACUGUACCCACAGAAGAAGCCCCGGCUAACUCCGUG